CGGGGGGGGGGGGGGUCCCUCAGCCCAGAUUGUGAGAGGAUGCAGGCCAGGCCAAGGGACCCCACUGGUGCACA
rfam:Myotis lucifugus cont2.372, whole genome shotgun sequence.